AUUGAACGCUGGCGGCAUGCCUAACACAUGCAAGUCGAACGAGUGGCGGACGGGUGAGUAAUGUCUGUGAAACUGCCUGAUGGAGGGGGAUCACUACUGGAAACGGUAGCCAAUACCGCAUACCAUCGGAUGUGCCCAGAUGGGAUUAGCUAGUAGGUGGGGUAACGGCUCACCUAGGCGACGAUCCCUAGCUGGUCUGAGAGGAUGACCAGCCACACUGGAACUGAGACACGGUCCAGACUCCUACGGGAGGCAGCAGUGGGGAAUAUUGGGCAAUGGGCGCAAGCCUGAUGCAGCCAUGCCGCGUGUGUGAAGAAGGCCUUCGGGUUGUAAAGUACUUUCAGCGGGGAAGCGGUACCCGAAGAAGAAGCACCGGCUAACUCCGUGCCAGCAGCCGCGGUAAUAC
rnacentral:rRNA from 1 species